GGCCACCGUCGGAAACGGGGACUCGAUCCCCAGAACGACCUCAUAGUAGCCGAGGACUACCAUACCAAGGGGGAGCAUCAGUAUGCCUGCCGCGAACAGGUACCAGGGCAACGGCCGGCUCGGGCGGUACAUGAGCACGCCAGUUACGAUCGCCGCUAGCGCGGAUACAU
rnacentral:misc_RNA from 1 species